AUUCCAGCUCCAGUAGUGUAUAUCAAAGUUGUUGCGGUUAAAGAGCUCGUAGUUGGAUUUCCUGGACAUAGUGGGCGGGACGUGGUCAUUUGAAUCGCGGCCGUGUUGCUGACCAGUGGGCGGACCGGAAAUAUUAUUUUUGGUGCGGCAUGUACUUUGAACAAAUUAGAGUGCUCAAGACAGGCGAUAUUAAAAUUGCUGUGAAUAGAUUAGCAUGGAAUACGGGUAUAAACUCUCACCUCGGGAUUGUUGUUUUGACGAGAUGGGGGAAUGAUGGAUAGGGACAGGUGUGGGCAUUGAGAUUGUUACGUCAGAGGUGAAAUUCUUAGAUCGUAGCAGGAUUAGCAGACGCGAAAGCGUUUGUCAAGGAUGUUUUCAUCA
rnacentral:rRNA from 1 species